UGGAGAUAUCAUUUUAGAUACCCCUGACUUUUGAAAUAGUUUCAAGCAUGUUCGAAUGCUCAGAUUAGAUCAAACUGUGCUCAGCCCUAACACAUACAUACUAUAUACUUCAAAAUGAAUUGUAAUUAUACAUGAUAUGCUAAACAUAAUGAAUUCUAUGUAUUCUAAACUAACCUUGCAUUUAGAUAAGCAUGCAAUUGAAUAAAGACUGAUAUGGACUUGGAUUUGUGUUUCAACUUCAAGUGAAAACACAGAAUAUCAAUAUAUUGUCAAAUUCAAAUACCACUUCAUUUCAAAUUCUCAUCAGCCCAAAUAAAGCCUUGAGAAAAAAAAUUUCAAAUCAAAUUGGUUGUAAAACAAUGUUAGCUUAUUUAAUCACAAAAACACUGUUACAUAUAGCAGAGGUUGAUAUUGGAGAGGAAAAAAAUAAGAAUGGAGCUAUAGUUGUAUGAGGAAGAGAGUAGA
rnacentral:misc_RNA from 1 species